rnacentral:misc_RNA from 1 species
UUUAGCGAAAACCCAGAGCUUUGCUGAAGGAUUUCAGCGCGUACAGUCAAUUUGAUCCCAUAUUUCUUCAUCGUCUGGAGCAUCGAAGCUCAGAAACGUCGAGUGCGUGGAUGGCAACGGAGAGUACAAAGAUAAAACUCUAAGGAUCAUACUGUUUUGUCUUAUUCCUCAACGUUCAUCCCUGUUCGUACGAUGGCAGACAUGCGUUUUCAUCCUUUGAGACUCGACAUUCAGCCACG